GUUAAAGUAGUUUAUUAAAACACCGCGUUGUGGCCACGGAGAUACAUUCUAAAAUGUCUUUAACCA
rnacentral:tRNA from 1 species